GGCCUAUCAGCUCAGUUGGUUAGAGCAUUGUGUUAACAACGCAAAGGUUGCAAGUUCGAGACCUGCAUAGGCCA